rnacentral:rRNA from 1 species
UACGGGGGGAGCAAGCGUUGUUCGGAUUUACUGGGCGUAAAGGGCGCGUAGGCGGCCACCGCAAGUCGACUGUGAAAUCUCCGGGCUUAACCCGGAACGGUCAGCCGAUACUGCGGGGCUAGAGUGCAGAAGGGGCAACUGGAAUUCUCGGUGUAGCGGUGAAAUGCGUAGAUAUCUGGAGGAACACCGGUGGCGAAGGCGGCGUUCUGGACUGCAACUGACACUGAGGAACGAAAGCCAGGGGAGCAAACGGG